rnacentral:rRNA from 1 species
AGUGAACGCUGGCGGUAGGCCUAACACAUGCAAGUCGAACGGCAGCACAGUAAGAGCUUGCUCUUACGGGUGGCGAGUGGCGGACGGGUGAGGAAUACAUCGGAAUCUACUUUUUCGUGGGGGAUAACGUAGGGAAACUUACGCUAAUACCGCAUACGACCUACGGGUGAAAGCAGGGGAUCUUCGGACCUUGCGCGAUUGAAUGAGCCGAUGUCGGAUUAGCUAGUUGGCGGGGUAAAGGCCCACCAAGGCGACGAUCCGUAGCUGGUCUGAGAGGAUGAUCAGCCACACUGGAACUGAGACACGGUCCAGACUCCUACGGGAGGCAGCAGUGGGGAAUAUUGGACAAUGGGCGCAAGCCUGAUCCAGCCAUACCGCGUGGGUGACGAAGGCCUUCGGGUUGUAAAGCCCUUUUGUUGGGAAAGAAAAGCAGCAGGUUAAUACCACGCUGUUCUGACGGUACCCAAAGAAUAAGCACCGGCUAACUUCGUG